ensembl:miRNA
AUUUUUGGUACCCGGUGGCAAGGUGGAUGCAAUGUGACCUCAACACUUGGUCCUCUGAGGUCACAUUGUAUCCACCCUACCACUGGGUACCAACGUGUGGGCAGCAGCUGCA